rnacentral:rRNA from 1 species
GACGAACGCUGGCGGCGUGCUUAACACAUGCAAGUCGAACGGAGAGGCCCUGCUUUUGUGGGGUGCUCGAGUGGCGAACGGGUGGGUAACACGUGAGUAACCUGCCCUUGACUUUGGGAUAACUUCAGGAAACUGGGGCUAAUACCGGAUAGGAGCUCCUGCUGCAUGGUGGGGGUUGGAAAGUUUCGGCGGUUGGGGAUGGACUCGCGGCUUAUCAGCUUGUUGGUGGGGUAGUGGCUUACCAAGGCUUUGACGGGUAGCCGGCCUGAGAGGGUGACCGGCCACAUUGGGACUGAGAUACGGCCCAGACUCCUACGGGAGGCAGCAGUGGGGAAUAUUGCACAAUGGGCGGAAGCCUGAUGCAGCAACGCCGCGUGCGGGAUGACGGCCUUCGGGUUGUAAACCGCCUUCGCCUGUGACGAAGCGUGAGUGACGGUAAUGGGUAAAGAAGCACCGGCUAACUACGUG